AAAAACAUCAAAUCAAAAGCCAUGGUAUAGACACAAAGGGUCUGUAGGGUAAAAAGAGAAGAAGAAAUAUAUAUAAAUAAAAUUAAAUUUAAGUUUGAGUAAAAACUAGUUUUGACUGGCAUUUCCCUGAUGAGUAAGGAUGCUGAACGUUUCUCUAGUGCUUCUGUGUAUAUGUUUGUCUUAUCAGUUGUUGAAUAAAACACUGAUUGGCCAGGCAAGAUGAUAGGUAGGACUAGGAGACAAGGAGGAUUCUGGGAAAUGUAGGCAGAGAGGAGUCGUCACGUUGAUCCCAAGAAGUGAUGUAGCUGGGCAGAAACUGCCACUAGCUAACCAUAGAGGUCUGGAGGUCUGUAUAGACAGGCAGGAAGUGACGUAGCUGGUCAGGUCACCCUGAUAUAAUCAGGGACAAAUAGGAAAUCACUCUCUUCUCUGCAGACUUGCUGAGAAGUCGACAUGUAGAAUGGCAGAGGAGUAACAGGUCCCUGAAUCUUUCUCUGGAAAGAGAAGACCACGUGGGAAUACUUGGAUUAAUAAUGAUGGGUCUCAUCACCUCGGAAAGAUGCUGCAGGCUGUAACCACACGUGGAGAUCAGACACAUUACAGCUCUCCAUAGCAAGGCGUUCACAUGCAGAUUUUAGAGGAGCACAGUAUCUACUCCGUUUCGGAAAGAGAGCAUCAACUUCCUCCACUCCACACACUUUGCUCAAAGGACAUACUCAUAGAUUUGGAGUCCCAGUUGCUGUCUUCUAUCAGGGCAGGCUGAUUUUAUCAUUAAAGAAACCCUAAUCCCAUGUGAAAACAAGCACAAGACAGGCCACCUUCUGCCAGAAUGAUUGCUCACUUCAGCCUC
rnacentral:lncRNA from 1 species